rnacentral:rRNA from 1 species
AUUGAACGCUGGCGGCAGGCCUAACACAUGCAAGUCGAACGAGUGGCGGACGGGUGAGUAAUGUCUGGGAAACUGCCUGAUGGCGGGGGAUAACUACUGGAAACGGUAGCUAAUACCGCAUACCAUCGGAUGUGCCCAGAUGGGAUUAGCUAGUAGGUGGGGUAAAGGCUCACCGAGGCGGCGAUCCCUAGCUGGUCUGAGAGGAUAACAAGCCACACUGGAACGGAGAAACGGUCCGGACUCCUACGGGAGGAAGCAGUGGGGAAUAUUGCACAAUGGGCGCAAGCCUGAUGCAGCCAUGCCGCGGGGAUGAAGAAGGCCUGCGGGUUGUAAAGUACUUUCAGCGGGGAGGCGUUACCCGCAGAAGAAGCACCGGCUAACUCCGUGCCAGCAGCCGCGGUAAUAC